rnacentral:rRNA from 2 species
AAUCCAUAGGUUAAUGAGGCGAACCGGGGGAACUGAAACAUCUAAGUACCCCGAGGAAAAGAAAUCAACCGAGAUUCCCCCAGUAGCGGCGAGCGAACGGGGAGGAGCCCAGAGCCUGAAUCAGCAUGUGUGUUAGUGGAAGCGUCUGGAAAGGCGCGCGAUACAGGGUGACAGCCCCGUACACAAAAGCGCAUGUGCUGUGAGCUCGAUGAGUAGGGCGGGACACGUGGUAUCCUGUCUGAAUAUGGGGGGACCAUCCUCCAAGGCUAAAUACUCCUGACUGACCGAUAGUGAACCAGUACCGUGAGGGAAAGGCGAAAAGAACCCCGGCGAGGGGAGUGAAAAAGAACCUGAAACCGUGUACGUACAAGCAGUGGGAGCCCCACCACCAAAGCAUUUGCUGUACCGCGUUGACGGAGCGAAGCGACGUCAAACCGAUAAAACAGCAGUGUAAAGUGAGCCGCAGGGCGCUUUGCGCGACAGCGCAAAGGCAGGCGGUUUCGCGUAGCGAAAGCGAAUGCUUUGGGGUGGGGUGACUGCGUACCUUUUGUAUAAUGGGUCAGCGACUUAUAUUCUGUAGCAAGGUUAACCGAAUAGGGGAGCCGGAGGGAAACCGAGUCUUAAUUGGGCGUUAAGUUGCAGGGUAUAGACCCGAAACCCGGUGAUCUAGCCAUGGGCAGGUUGAAGGUUGGGUAACACUAACUGGAGGACCGAACCGACUAAUGUUGAAAAAUUAGCGGAUGACCUGUGGCUGGGGGUGAAAGGCCAAUCAAACCGGGAGAUAGCUGGUUCUCCCCGAAAGCUAUUUAGGUAGCGCCUCGUGAAUUCAUCUCCGGGGGUAGAGCACUGUUUCGGCUAGGGGGCCAUCCCGGCUUACCAACCCGAUGCAAACUGCGAAUACCGGAGAAUGUUAUCACGGGAGACACACGGCGGGUGCUAACGUCCGUCGUGAAGAGGGAAACAACCCAGACCGCCAGCUAAGGUCCCAAAGUCAUGGUUAAGUGGGAAACGAUGUGGGAAGGCCCAGACAGCCAGGAUGUUGGCUUAGAAGCAGCCAUCAUUUAAAGAAAGCGUAAUAGCUCACUGGUCGAGUCGGCCUGCGCGGAAGAUGUAACGGGGCUAAACCAUGCACCGAAGCUGCGGCAGCGACACUGUGUGUUGUUGGGUA